rnacentral:lncRNA from 1 species
AUGGUGCUCCAGGAAGAGAUGGUGAAAAGGGUGAAAAAGGUGACGCUGGUCCCCCUGGUCCUCCUGGAAGUGUCAUUUCAAGACCAGACAUUGAUGCAGCAGUGGGACCAAAAGGUAGCAAAGGAUUGCCAGGACUUCCAGGAGCCAAAGGGGAGCGUGGAUUCUCUGGUAGGCCGGGCCCRCCUGGCUUGCCAGGUUCUCCAGGGAUCACGACUGUUGGGCCUCCUGGCCCACCUGGCUUACCUGGCGAGAGAGGACAGAAGGGAGAUCCAGGUUUACCUGGUGUUUCCAUUCCUGGACAGCCAGGACUUGAUGGACCCCGGGGAUCCCCAGGACCACCAGGUCCCCCAGGACCACCUGCGCCAUCAGUUCCUCCUGGUGAAGGGUUAUGUGAGCAGGGACCRCCAGGUCCUCCUGGAAUUCCAGGACAGCAAGGCUUUACGGGGGAGCGAGGCCAAAAAGGUGCCAAGUCAUGGAAAUGUUUUUUCUCGUCUUGUUAAAGCUUGUUUAACAGUUUAAAGCCUGCAUUAGGUAAAGAAUAAGCAGUGUCUCUUCCCACUAGGGUUGGGUGUGAAUUUUAUGUGUUUCCAAAUAAGAAAUCUGUUUUGUUUGGACACAGGGUAGUCCUUCAUCUAGUGUAAAAGCACAGGAAUCUCARACUUUCUGAGAGUAUAACCCAUUUGAAUGGCCUUGUGCAGAUCAUGAUUAAAGUAAAAUGGAGCUUCAGGUUUACGAGUACCUUCCAGGUGAAUAGGAUCUACCUCCAUGUGAAGAAGUUUUGUACGUACUUCAUGGAUAAAUUUGACAUUAUUUUGUGGAAAGCAACAUUGAAAUUAUAAAUGUAAGGUUCAUAAUUUGAGUUGGUCAGUCUAGAAGGAGUUUAUCUGUUUGUUUGCUAACCAAAAGAAAGACAUCUUUAAUGUGUACCCUUGUUUCCAAAAAGACAACCUUGCAAUGAGGAUGCUGAUAUGGGUAAGUGAGAAUCUUUUCCUAGCUCAACCAUGGACAUCUUAAAUGACUUUGAGCAUCUCACUUGAUUUUAUACUCCUUUCAAACAGGAGUAGCUCUUUCUCAUGGAGAUUGUAAGCUUUAGUUAAUUAACCCAAAUGAAAUGUUUAGCUAAUACAGUGAUGAACAUCAUAGAAAAGUCUGUGCAUGAAUGAAAUUCCUAAACUUCUUGAAACAGUUCAUUUUUUUUUAAUGAAAUAUGUUUAGCCUAUUGUCAGAUCAGCUGUGUUUAAUAAAACYGUCUCAGUAGUUAUUUUGCCUUCUAGG